UGUGUUUCCUCUGCACUUCGCAGGUGGCGUUGGCAUAAAAGGCAGGCUUGUAUCAUGGGGAAUGAUUGUCAUCUCGUAUGAUCCUUGGAGAUGGCAGGAAGCCCCUGGACACACAUGGUGUGGACUCCUUCAGAGGCGGUUGAAACCUUCCUUAAUGUGAGGCCAGAGACAGGCGGACAGCAAAUGUAUCGCAGCGGGCUGGAUGACAUGGCCCUUGGAACCUGUGCACAUGCCUGCCUUUCUGAUGCACGUCCGUGUUUUCUCUGCACCUCCCCAGUGGUGUUCGUGUAAAAAGCAGGCUCAUGUUAGCAAGGAAUGAUUGUCAUCUCAUUUGAUCCUGCGAGAUGGCAGAAGUCCGGGGCCACAUGGAGUGUGGGCUCCUUCGGAGGCUGAUGGAACCCUCCUGAAUGAGUUGUGGCAAUGGAAGUAAGGCCAGUGGCUACGAGGGACAGUCUUCAUCUUGGAAGAUCCAUCGAGAUGGCAGGGAGCCCCUUGACAAGUGGAAUCUGGUCUCCUUUGGUGCUGGUGGAUCCCACAGGUGGUCUGGCAUGGAAGAAGGCCACAGGCUACGAUGGAUGAUCUUUGUCUUGGGGGAUUCCUGGAGAUGGUGGGGAGCCCCUGAGCACGUGCGGCACAUGUGGCAUGAGCUUCUUCAGAAGCUGGUGGACCCCUCAGGAUGCUCGUCAAGGUUUUUCUAUGAGUUCUGUUAAAGAGUCAGAAAAUGGAGCCUAGAAGACAUGCUUCCAUUUCCAGGAUGGUUGUGUUUUCCAGAGAGGCGUAGUUCAUUGUGGAACCAGCACAGAUUUCCAUAUGAAAGUUUUUUUUUUUUAACCUCCAAAAGUGACAGAAUGGAGUGUAUCAUGGAAAAAUCUGACAUCAAAACCUCAAAAUGUGAUAUUGAUUGGGUGAGAUAGAAUUCCAUGGAAUUUCAUUGCCAAACCAGUGAAGUGCUAAUUUUGACAUUUGUACCAGCUGAUGUAGCUGUGAAGAAGCACAUCAAUACCACUUCUAAGGACAGCAUAGACCAAGAACUGGGUUUCAUAUGGAUGAAUUUAUUCUUCCUUUGAGGCAAGACAAGAAGGAAAGAAAGUAUUGGGACUAAUGCCAUCCUCAAGGGCCAGUGGGAACUCUAAUAUUGAUUGGGUGAGAUACAAUUCCAUGGAAUUUUACCACUGAACCAGUGAAGGGCUAAUUUUGUCAUUUGUACCAGUUAACUAAUUUGGGAGGAAACAGAACAACACACUCCUGAGGGUAAAAUGGAAACUCUGAGAGUUUGGUUGGCGGCAUCUAUAUACCAUAGAAACAGAGCCUGGGAAGCAGAACAGUGAGACCCAAGAGAAAUGUUCCUGCCUAUACUUGAUUGGUUGUCACAGAAUUCCGUGGACUUUAACCAGUGAUGCGCUGAUUUUGUCAUUUGUACCAGCUAACUCAUCUGGGAGGCAACAAAACAAUAUUCUCCUGAGAAUGAAGUGGACCAAGAACUGGGCUUCAUACGGAUGAAUUUAUUUUUUUUCUCCAUGUGGAGACGUGAAGGAAAAGUAUAGGAAAUAAUUCUGCCUCCCACCCACAAGUCCCCAUGGGAAUUUCUCACAUGUUAAAAAGCAUUUUGUCCUGAAAAUAACAACAUUUUUUCUUAGGGAAUCAGGACACUCCAAUGAUGGUGAGACUCUGGCUAUGCCAGUCAGCCAUGGGCUGGUCAUUGACUGUGAUGCUGGUCUCCAUGAUUGAAUAGUGUGGGUCAUUGGUGACAGAUAGCUGUGUGCUCAGUGUCUGCCACGUAUCUCAGGUUCAAAGUCCCUUUUAAUAAAUGUGACUGGAUCAUGAUGACUUAAAAAUGGAUCUCGGAAUCUGAGCAAAACGAGUGACCAAACCACUUCUGUGCCAGUUCUGUGAACUGAGGUCCAGCACAGGGACCAUGCCAGGCAAACACGUGGAGAGAGUUCAGUUUGGUCAGCAGCUGGUACCAAAAUGGCCUGUGGUAUUGGAAAACAAACCCACUCACAUAGGUUACAGCACAUGAAUUGUACAGAGGUCUGUAUGUGUGUGUAUGUAUUUAUAUAUGUUUGUGUACAUAUAUCUUUGGGGAUUAUAUGGCAUUUCUUUCAGUGUUUGGCUGGCAGUGUCCAUACUCUCAUAGUAAACAGAACUACUCAAGAGUAGAGGGGACGAUGGGAAACAGUUUUGCGUACCCUAGAGUCUUUUACACAUUGUUUUAGGUGCUAUAAUCUUGUGUGUGAGGUCAGUCUCUCAGGUUCAUUAGGUGGACAGUGCAAAAGGUAUUAUGAGUUUAUAUAUUAUUUAUCUAUUAAGUAAAGGAAAUAUUUGGAAAUUGAAGAGUAGCUUUUAUCUAUUAAAUAAAAGAAUAUAUGGAAAUUGAAUGGCACUUUCUAUUCGUGGAAAGUCUUAACAUUUUAAUUUCCUUAUUUUACAUUACUAACAUUUAAUUUCCUUAUUGACCUUAUCACAAAAAUUGGAAUUUAAAUUUUGCCUGUCACUCAAAGAGAAGCUUUUUAGACAUUUGAUUGAGGAAUUCUAGUAGAUGCUAUAGUAAACAUUUCUAAUUGUAAAAUGAUUAAAUUUUCAAUUCAUGGAGUUUUAUGUGGAUUUCAUUGCCUGAUAUUCAUGUUUUUUAUUGGUGAGUUUCAUAGAUGUUUAAAGGGAGAUCCUAGUUUUAUUGUGUGAUGCUAACGGAGGCCUUUGGUCAUAGAAAACUGACUUUAGUACUACCCAUUUCCAGGGAGUGAGCAUAAUCUUUAUUCUCGUACCAUGUGGGCAAGUGAAGAUCUAUGGUUUAUUUCCUAUAACCCGUCAUUAGUAAUUAUGAAAGUAAGAAAGUUGACAAAUGAAACUCUUUUAAUUAUGAGGGUUUCAUUUGUCAACUUCUUUACUUCCUCACUGUGCUUCGCAUAUUGGAGGUAAUACUGGAAUUGCAUGGAAUUCCUACUGCUGCUCCACUAACCUGCUAAUUUUGUCACAUGUACCAGAUUCCUUGUCUAGCAAUGAAAACAACACACUUCAGAGGUAAUACUGCAAUUUUUUGUAAGUGCAUUUGUCCUGGAUGAGUUCUAUUAUUUUAUUUUCGCAAUUAAGAUUAGAAUUGGUUUUUCGAGCAGUCCGUUAAUCCACACGGUGUGAGGCCCUAAUAAUCUGGUUAGUCAUCUGAGGUUUCUGUGUCCUUUGUCCAGUAUUUUUAUACUUCCUCUGCUUUCAGAUAACAUUAGAAUACCCUACUAGCGAAAUAAUUUAGUAUAUUUUAUGUACUUGUGCAUAGUAAACCUGUUGUAUAUGUACACUAUUUGCAUGGUUGGCAAAUGUACAUUUGCACUUUUCUAUAAUUUUUUUUCUAUUUUCAAAGGUUAAUGUGGACGAAGAACUAGAUUUCAUGUAAAAGAGUUUAUUCCUUCUACUUGAGGUGUGACUUGAAGGAAAGUAAUGGAAAUAAUUCUGCCCUCCCAUUCUCAAGGGCCGGGGGAAUUCUAAUCUUGAACGGAAGUGAUUUUGGAAUUGCAUGGAAUUCUCACUGCCAUCCCAAAGAAAUGCUGAUCUUGUCACUCUUACCUGUUCCGUUGCCUGGGGCAGAACAAAAGGAUGUACUUCAAAGAGUGACAUGAACCAAGAACUGGGUUUCAUAUGAAAUAUUUUAUUCUGUCCUCUUGAGAUGUGACAUGAAGAAAAGUGUUGAGAAUAUUUCUAUCACCUCAUCUUCAAGAAUCAGUAGGAAUUCUCCCAUCGUUCCAUGUGAUACUAGAGUUGCGUGGAUUUUUAAUCUUUACACCAAUGAAGAUCAGAGGUUAACAGUGCCCUUUUUUUAGAAGUUUGUAUUUGUCACUGAUAACUGUAAUAACUGAUCUUGUUGAAAAGCGUGAGAAAUGAAGAUCUGAUAUGUCACUUUUACCAGCUUCCUCAACUGAGAAAGAAUACAAUGAAACAUGCUGAGAAUUUUUGUGCUUUCUCAGUCUUGCUGAUGAUCUUUCUGUGGGCAUGAAGCAUGGAGAGUGCCAGAGAGGCUGAUCCUCAACAGUGUGACAGCGGAAAGUUGGGUGUGACCAAGAGGUAUGCGGUGCCCAAAUGCCAGUAGGUCCUCAGCAGUACCACCUGGUCAACAAACACAAGGCACCUAGCCUCACAUGAAACUUUAUUGCUUUCCCUUGAGAUGUGACAUGACAGAAAAUGUCAGAAAUGGUUUUUCCAUCCCAUCCUCAGUGACCAGUGGGAAUUCAUUUUACCAUUACACCUUCAAGGGCCAGAUCGGAAGUGAUAUUGGUGGAAGACAACACUUUGCCGCUUGGAAUUCUCACCUCCACACCAAAGAAGGACUGUUUUUGUCAUUUGCACCAGCUUCUUUCUCCAGGAAAGAUCAAAACGAUGCACUCCAAGGGCAUGCCAUGUACCCCUCAGGACCUGAAGCAAGAGAAUGAAUUAAAGAAAACUCCAGAGAAUGAGCUGACAACUUACUCCCUGGUCAGUGGCUCUCCAUGCCUACCUGUGGUUUCUUGGACACCCUUGCAGAAGAUGACUUCCUGGGAACUCUUCUGAGAGUGAAUGUUAUCAGCAAAUUCCCAAAACAGCACCCCUUAGACAAAAAGCCUGCUCACCUAUGCAUUGCCUAGGCCACCCACUAAAGGUGAUGGCCACAAAGAGGUGGAUUUGUUGAGUUGGUGCCAUUCCUUCUACUGCCAGCUUCACCAAAACAAUGAUUCAGUCUUCCUUAUGCAUGGGGACUCUUCUCUUUCCUGUGUUGCAGUGGAUACCUCCUGCAGAUAAGAAAUGCUUAACUGAGAAAUGCUCAUGUUGGGAUAUCAUCGAUGAGACUUUAAUUGGGGCAUGGUGACUGUUUCCCUUGCUGCCACUUGACUCAAUCCCAGGAGCCUCAGUAGAGGAUAAAAUAUUACACAAGAUGCUCAAAAUGGUGGAAUUGCUCAGUGCUCCCAUAAAUAUACAUUUAUAAUUUUCAUUUGCCACAUGGUAAACUGAAAAAUACAGAAUAUAUUAAAAAGAAACUUUUUUUUAUUUUUUUCAAAAAUUCAAAGCAUAUUUAAAUAAUAUAUAAAUUAAAUGCCCUCCUCUCUUCCAAUUCUGUCCCUAUAGUUUUCCUCUAUUAAGUGAACUACAUGCAUUCUUUUAGUGGAUAGAUGCACACAAAUACACAAGCCAUUUUGGGGAAGGAUCCAGGAGUGUGGCCAUAUUGUAACACAUUUUUCUGCAAAUUACCUCUUUCAUUUAACAGCCCUCAUUCAAUGGCCUUUUUCUUUUUCAGUAAUACAUACACAUCUGUGUCAUUUGUUGAAUGACGACAUGAAUGUUUUGUAGAUGAAAUAUAAUUAAAUGUUUUAAGCAUUUCUCACUCAUAGAUAUUUAUGUUAGCACCAAAUUUCUGUGCAAUGAACCUCCCUAUAUAUCAAUAAUUUUGCAUUUGUCUAUAAUAUCAUAAUAAAUUACUUAUCAGUUGAAUUACUGGGAUUAAGUAUGUGCACACUUCAUAUUUUGAAAAUUAUUGCAAGUUUGCCUUCAAAAAUGUGGUUAACAACUUUAUCCUCCAAUGGCAAUGAAUGAGAUUGCCAGCUUUCCUACAACCUCACAGACAAUGGAUUUUAUAAAUAUUUAAAAUUUUUGCCAAUGUGAUCACCCAAACUAUUGUCUUAAAUUGUAUUUCUUUUGUUUUUGAGUUUGGUCAUUUUUUCAUGUUUGUUAGCCAUCUGUAUUUUUUAAUUUCUUCUUUAUGUCCAAUUUUGUGGGUGGGAGGAGGAUUUAGUCUCUUCCUGAUUUCGAAGAGCUCAUUUACUAUUUCGGGAAAUAAGAUUUGGAUUGUCAACCAUUACAGCUCUUUUUUACACACUUUUUAACUUUGUUUUUGUUAUAAGAAUGUGUAUGAUUGUUAUAUGUCCAAGUAUAACCAUGUUCGCUUUUAUGGCUUCUGAGUUUCAUGUCAUUUUUGGAAAGAUAUAUAUACUAAGUCCAUAAAACCCUUCACCUAUGUUAAAUUCUAAUUCUUUUGUGUUUUUUUAAUUCAAAUUCUUAAAUCAUGAGAAAUUUUUUUGUUUUGAAAUCUUAAAGUUGCCAAGUUACUUGCCAUUACUUGCGAUUAUUUGCCAAUAAUUGCCCAUUUAUCUGUACUGCCAUCUUGCGCAUAUGCUGUACUCUCAUCUGUGACUGGCUCCAUUUUUGUUCUGUGGAUUUGUGUGUCUCUUCUUCUGCCUCCUGUCUCAUGUGUCUUCUCGUUGGAAGAAAUUACAGUUUAGACUGCAAUUUCAUCAACUUUAAUAAAUCAAUUGAGGGGAGAAUGGUUUUUAAAAAUAUUAAGUUAAGUCUUCGUAUCCAAGGACAAGGUAUGUCUUUUCGUAUUCAAUAAUUUUAAUUACUGUUAAUAUUUUCACUCUGGUGAUGGGAGUUUUUCUUUUAAUUUGCUUUCUUGUUCAUUUUUUGUAUCUAAAGUUUUUGUUUUGUUUUGUUUUGUUUUGGGGGUAAGUGGUCACCUUACUGUUUCUUGUUGCUUUUCAGAUUUUUUCAAAGUAUAGACUAAAUCCUUUGCAAAUAUUUAAAGUUUUUAUUUCCCCCCUUCAUAUUGAUCCUGAUAUUAGUUAUGUUGACAAAGUCCACAGACUGUUACUAUCAGAACACUUGAACAGUUAUGGAAAUAUUACCCACCCUUGAUUUAAUCAGGGUUUAAUGGUAUGCUUCUUUGGUUUGACUGGCACAUUGUUGCUGGUCAUUUUCUCCCAAAGACCACCAGAAAGAGCUGUGAUCAAGCAAAGCUGAGUUUGUUAAACUUACCUGCAGCAAGGGAAAACACCACCUUGAUAGGAUUUAAUAAUGUUUCAAAAUCAAGAAAGGCUUUGGGGUCUGGGCAGGGAACUAAUUAGAAAUGGGCAAAAUUUGUCAUGCAAUACUUUAAGAUUGGUGGGAAAGUGAGAUGAGGUUCUUAAUGUGAGGAUUGAUGGUCAAAUCAUUUUCUAGGUGAGCUGUUUGCCUGUAGAAAUAUGUUAUCAGUGAUAGAAGAACUAUUUGCCUAGAUAAGCAAACUGAAUUUAUUUAUUGGUUUACAGUUUUAUCUUGCUGGGCAGGACUCUGCUGGGGGUGGUAUCAGGUCUUAUUCCCAAUAGAAAACUGCUAGAGUCUUCUAAAGAAGUGGACAGUUUUCACACUCCCAACCAGUGCUAUGAGAUUUUUAGUUGCUGUCCAUUUUUGCCAACAUUGGAAAUUGUGAGUCUUAUCUAUUAACUGGGUGUGAGCUGACAUUUUGUUGUGACUUCAAUUUGAAAUUUGACCGCUUAAGAAGGCAACCAGUUUUUCAUGAAGUUGUCCAAUUGUAAAUCUUCUGUAGUAAAAUUUGUGUAUUUUUCCCAACUUUUAAAUUACAAUUUUGAAGUAAUUUUGGACUUACAGGAAAUUUGCAAAAAUAGUAGAGUUCCUGUGUAUUCUGUACCCAGCUUUCUGGAUGUUAGCAUUUUAUAUAAUCAUUAUUAUGACAUUACAUACAAUGAUUGAAAUCAGGAAAUUAAUAUAAUACUAUCAACCAAUCUGCAGACUAUAUUCAGGUCUUUCCAGUUACCCUAUUAAUGUCCUUUUUAUCUAGUCCAGGAUCCAAUCCAAGAUCCCUUAUUGCAUUUAUCUGGCAUGUUUCCUUUGCCCUCUCUCCUAACUACAAAUCUGGGAGAGUUCCCUCAGUCUUUGUAUUUCAUUAAAUUGACACAUUUGAGAAAUACUAAACCAUAAUUUUGUACCCUAGUCCUCAAUUUGGAUUUGUCUGAUAUUUUUUAUUAUUAGAUUAAGGUUAUGCACUUUUGACAAAAGAUAACACAGCAGUAAUGGUGUGCCCUUUUCAGUGGAUUGUAUCUGGGGUACAUGAUGUCAGUGUCUUAUUUCUGCUGAUAUUAAAUAUCACUUGAUUAAGGUAGUAUCUGCCAGGUUUAUCCACUGCAAAGUUACUGUUUUCCUUUCUUUGUAAUUAAUAUUUUGUGAGGAGAUACUUUGAGACUAUGCAAAUAUUUUAUUUCAUCUAAUUUCAGUAAUAAUUGAAGAUUCUUGCCUACAGCAAUUAUGAUUAUGGUGUAAACCUAGUGAUGGUUUCUAUUUCCAUGAUAUUUUCUCUACGUAUUAUAAUUUGACUGUAAAGAUCUGUCCUUCUUCCCCAUUUAUUUGUACUCAGUUGUUAUUUUACAUCCGUGUGGAUUUGUGCAUAUCUUACUUUAUGGAUUGUUAUAUAUUGCAAUCAUUAUUUGUGUUUGAUUUUCAUUUUUUUUUUUUCCUGGAUUUGAUCAUUGGGAGCUCCUUUAAGUUGGCCCUGUGUUCUUUUAAUACAACCCCAUAAUUUUUUGACCACUUCUUAUUUUCUGGUAUCACAAGAUGUUCUAGGUUUGUCUUGUAUUUUCCUUCCCCAAGCCUGUAAUCAACCAUUUCCUCAGUGAGUUCUAGUUCUUCAUAUUGCGAAAUAGUAUUUAGAAACCAAGAUCUUGUUAUUAAGUGUAUUCAUUGCUAACGGGGUUCUAUUGCUUCUAGGCCUAGAGCUCGGAGCUAUGUGUCCAUUUACACACACACACACACCUAUAAUGUCUCUGUCCAUUUAUCUAUCUUAAAUAUAUAUACCAAUAAUAUAUAGAAUACUAUAGAUAGUAUAUAUCUUUAUUAAAAAUCACGAGUUCAUACUGUUACGAUUAUAAUCCAUCAUCAUAAUGUUCAUUUUAUUCUUUCCUCUUGGCUUAUUUGUGAUUUGUUUCUUCAACAGUGAGAAACCUACCUUUCAUUAUCUACAAUAUGUUUUGUUAUUUCUUCAGUGCGGUAUGUGCUUAAAGUAAUCUCAGAAUUUCUAAAUUAUACCCGUUUAAAAAUGAAAUCACUAACUAUAGCACGGUAUUUAAAUAUAGUUCUUUUUUCUUUAUCCUUAACAGUGUUCGGUCAACAUACUGUUUCUAAACGUAUUUAGGUUAGUUAUCUUUUUUUCCUAUCCCCUACAGUAUGGUUACAUUAAUCAUAUAAUCAGUCUGGUUUUUUUUUUUACUGUUUAUGUUCCAUUUUGAGUUCCCUCACCUUUUGGAUUAAUUUAACUAUAUUUUGUAUAUGUGAAAUAUUACUGUGGUUCUAAAAAUUAGGAUUGUGAGAAAUAUCACUUCCCCAUCAUCCCUGCUACAAUGAUUCUAUUCCUCCCUUCUUUCCACCCUAAUCUCACCCAACCCCUAGAGUUAACUAGUCUAAUGGUUUCUGAUUUAUUUUUUUCUCUUUUUUUUCUUGAUCACAAAUGGGCAGAUACAUAUAUAUUUUAUCAUAUCCCCUUCCUUCUUACAUGAUUGGUGGCAUACUAUAGAUUUUUUUUUGCAAUUUUCUUUUUCCACUUAAUAUGUCGUGGAAAUCACUUCAUGUGUAUUCAAAGAUAUAUUCCUCAUUCUUUUAUGCUUGGUAUGGUUAACUCUAUGGAUGCACCACAUUUUAUUCAACCCCUCAGCUCUAUGAAAAUUGUUUGCAAUAUGUGUAAAGUAUCACACUACAAAUAGUUUUACAUUGGAUUGUUUAUUCCCUCUUCAUUUGGAAGCGUUCUUUGUAUUACUGGGACAUACAUUUCUUGUUCAAUAUAUGUGUUGCAAAGGUUUCUUUCAUUAAGUAUCUUAGCCUGCCUGCCUUUCUUUCCAUUUCCUUUCUUUUUCUUUUCUUUCUUCUCCUUUUAUUGCUAUUAUGCUCUAAAUUUUAAAAUGGCCCAAAUUUGCCAGUGGCUCAUCCCUUAUUUCUAUUUAUUCUCCCUUUCCUUUUGUCCCCCAUGUCUUUUCCUUUAAUUUAGGUGAAAUUAACAUAACGUAGCCAUUUAGUGCAUUCAAAAUGUUUUGCAACUGCCAUCCUUAACUAGUUGCAAAACAUUUUCAGCACCCCAAAGACAACUCAUACCCAUUAAGCAAUCAGUUCCAACUCUCUUUCCCUAUCUUUUCAUUUUUGUUUUUUGGAGUUUUUUUGAGACAAGGUCUCACUUUGCACCCAGUCUGGAGUGCAG